UGGGGAAUAUUGGACAAUGGGCGCAAGCCUGAUCCAGCCAUGCCGCGUGGAUGAUGAAGGCCCUAGAGUUGUAAAGUCCUUUCGACGGGGCAGCUAAUGACGGUACCCGUAGAAGAAGCCCCGGCUAACUUCGUGCCAGCAGCCGCGGUAAUACGAAGGGGGCUAGCGUUGCUCGGAAUCACUGGGCGUAAAGCGCACGUAGGCGGCUUUUUAAGUCAGGUGUGAAAUCCCGGAGCUCAACUCCGGAACUGCCCUUGAUACUGAGAAGCUUGAGUUCGGGAGAUGUGAGUGGAACUGCGAGUGUAGAGGUGAAAUUCGUAGAUAUUCGCAAGAACACCAGUGGCGUAGGCGGCUUACUGGCCCGAUACUGACGCUGAGGUGCGAAAGCGUGGGGAGCAAACA
rnacentral:rRNA from 1 species